rnacentral:lncRNA from 1 species
AGAACACUGGGGAGACUAGAUCGAUAGGGCUGCACAGAGGUGGCACAGUUGUGCCAGAGGUAGCAGGGACAGGAGGGCUGGCAAGGGAGGGUCCAGGGCUAGGGGAUUCGGAGUGGCUUCAGGCGGACCACGUGGCUACCUUUUUUCCAGGGCCAGACUUUGGCAGCGUGUAAGGUCUGAGGACAGGGGCACCGGAGGCCGAGGAUGAGAGGCCAGUGCCUGUUUCCAGGCAGCCAGGGCCUCAGAAACUCCGGCCGGAGCACUCACCCGUCGGUGGAGGCCGUUACCAGGGCCACCUUAUUUGCGAGCGGGUCCCGGCGGGUCAUCCCGGAGCUGGCCAUCCGCACCGAAUUCCAAGCCCGGGCACAGAGGCCUAGCAGCCCCGCCUUGUGCAUGGAUCAGACCAGCAAGUAUGGGUUCCACUCUUCCCAGGGGCGGUGACAGAGUAGGGCGAGGGGCAGGACGAAGGGCGGGCCGAUUCCCUGCCCGCCCUGCUCCCCGCCCCGGUACCGCUGUGAGCGGUCUGUGGCCCUGGGCACCUCCAUCCGCCGCGGCGCCCCUCCACCAUCUACCUUCCGCCUGACUGGGGCUUGCCUUUCCGGGCUGGCGGGUGCCACUUCGGAUAAACCCUUUGGACUCCUAACUCCAAUCAGGUGUCUGCUUUGUUGAGGACUCACAGACACAGUCUCCUUUCUUCAAGAUCUUUACAAUGCAAGACCUCACUAACACACAGGGAUGGUCUCCCAGAGGGUCUGUGCUGUUCCUUCACUCAGAACAUCAAGAUGCACUGAAGUAAGGAUCCUCUAUUCUACAGUUCCUGCUAGCUGAGCUAUUCCAUGGGGGCUUCAGCAGGAAAUUCCAAGGUUGGCUUUGACAAGCUAAGGCCGGCUGGUGGAGCACAUCGAGUUCUGGAGGUUCAUGUGUGUUUUCAUGAAGAUCUGUCUGCCCGUAGCAGAUAAAGAGUUGUUGCCCCACUCCUCCUGGGGUCUUCUAUUUUCCUGGGAGGAAUUUCUGGAUUAACUGAACACACACACACACACACACACCCUUUUGAAGCAUCAACAGUAAUUCUGAGUUCUUAGGGACAAUGCAGAUUAAAUCCACAAUAAGAAAGACAACUAUGGCCAGGUGUGGUGGCUCACGCCUGUAAUCCCAGAACUUUGGGAGGCUGAGGCGGAUGGAUCACCUGAGGUCAGGAGUUAGAGACCAACCUGACCAACAUGGAGAAACCCCGUUUCUACUAAAAAUGCAAAAUUAGCCGGGCAUGGUGGCAGGCGCCUGUAAUCCCAAAUACUCGGGAGGCUGAGGCAGGAGAAUCACUUAAACCCGGGAGGCAGAGGUUGCAGUGAGCCAAGAUCGCGCCAUUGCACUCCAGCCUGGGCAAGAAGAGCAAAACUCCAUCUCAAAAAAAAAAAAAGAGUACUAUUGAUCCAGAGGUGACCAGACUAGCCUCACUGGAGAUAAUAGGUGACAUUAUUAUGCAAAGUGGUUUCAGUUCCCUUGUCUUGUUUUUGGAAUAGUAUAAGAGGCCUACAAUACGAAUAAAUAAGGCCCAUCACAAGCCUCACCAAAGGACAAAACUAAUCCACUUCUGAAGAAGGCUCUUUGUUGGGCCAGAUCAAAUCCUUGGACAGAACUGUACUCUUAAUCUCUGUAGUGAAAGUGGGGGGUAGUUUAAGAAUUUAUUAACCUUCUACCUUGAGCAAUCCCUCAGAAGUAAGAGGUGUCAGGCCUCUGAGCCGAAGCUCAGCCAUUGUAACCCCUGUGACCUGCACAUAUAUGUCCAGAUGGCCUGCAGGAGCCAAGAAGUCUGGGGCAGCUGAAAAACCACACAAGAAGUAAAACAGCCAGUUCCUGCCUUAACUGAUUAACCAACAUUACAACAUUCCACCAUUGUGACCUGUCCCUGUCCUACCUUAACUGAUCAAUCGACCUUGUGACAGUCUUCUUCUGGACAAUGGGUCUUAUCAUCUCCCCACCAUGUACCUUGUGACCCCCUCCUCUGCUAACAAUAGAUAACCACUUUUUACUGUAAUUUUCCAUUACCUACCCAACUCCUAUAAAGCAACCCCUUCCCCAUCUCCCUUCACUGACUCUGUUUUCAGACUCAGCCCACUUGCACUCAAGUGAAUAAACAGCCUUGUUGCUCACACAAAGCCUGUUGGUGGUCUCUUCACACAGAUGUGCUUGACAAAAGGGAAGGGUGGAUUUGUCCUUCUGGUUACAUAUGUUCUGCUCACUCAUUUUGAAUUUAAUUAAACAAGGAUUGCCCUUACCUUUUCAUACUUUGUAAGAAACCAUAAAUACUUAUGCACCAUGAUUUUUUUAAAGAAACACUUUUUAUUUUGAAGUAAUUAUAGUCUCAUAGGAAGUUGCAAAAGUAGUACAUAGAGUCCCUGAGUACUCUUCCCCCAGUGGUGACAACUGUAGUAUAAUAUCAAUUCUGGGAAAUUGACAUUGGUACAAUACCAAAUAUACUAUGCCUUUUUCUCUAAGGCAUGAUGUUGCAGUAGCAUCCUUGUACAUGUAGCUAGGAGAACUUGUACUAAGCCCAGAUAAAUAGUUGAAGUACAAGGGCAAGGAGUGUGUCUUUGAUAUUUUAAUAGAAAUCACCUAUUGCCCUCUAGAAAAGCUGUACCCUUUUCCAGUGGCAGAGAACCUUCCUGAAAGGCAGUCCUGUGUAAUGGUGUCCAUUUCAUCACACCCUUAAAACACUCAGCUUUAACAAACAUGCAGAUUUUUGCUGAUGUGGGAGAAAAUAUUAAUUAUUAAUGAUAUUAAGGUGAUUAUCUUUUCGUAUGUUUAUAGAUAUUUGUAUUUCUUUUUAAAUGAACUGCUCAUGACCUUUGUCUACUUUUAUUUGGGUUUACUUCUUUCUCAUUUAUUCCUAUAAACUCUUUAUAAAAGGAAAUUAACCAUUUGAUUGUCAUAUGUUGUGAAUAUUUUUACCAUUUUGACUUUUGAAUUUAUGUCUUUUUAAUGAAUUGUAGAAGUUUAAAAUCUUUAUGGAAUAAAUUUAUUUAGUUUUUUGUUUAUGG